rnacentral:lncRNA from 1 species
AUGCUGCAGAAUCUGCUGGCACUGUCAGGUUGCCCAGAGGACCAUGAGCAUUGCUUCAUGCAGGCAUUUUGAAAAUAAAGGUCCAGAAAACACAAGCUGUUUCAGGAGAAGAAUGGAAUUCCAGUGCAUCUAAAGGGUGGUAGAGCUGAUGACCUCCUGUAUAGAGCCACCAUGGUUCUCAGUUAGUGAAACAGCAUAUGCCAUGCAUCAGCUGGCUGUGGUUUCAUUUCCCAAGAAAUGGGAUUGACUUCAGUCAUCACAGCAGUGACUUGAUUCAGUUUCAUUCAGCUCUGUAUGGACUCCUAGUCCAUAGAG